GAUGAACGCUGGCGGCGUGCCUAAUACAUGCAAGUCGAGCGAACGGACGAGAAGCUUGCUUCUCUGAUGUUAGCGGCGGACGGGUGAGUAACACGUGGAUAACCUACCUAUAAGACUGGGAUAACUUCGGGAAACCGUAGCUAAUACCGGAUAAUAUUUUGAACCGCAUGGUUCAAAAGUGAAAGACGGUCUUGCUGUCACUUAUAGAUGGAUCCGCGCUGCAUUAGCUAGUUGGUAAGGUAACGGCUUACCAAGGCAACGAUGCAUAGCCGACCUGAGAGGGUGAUCGGCCACACUGGAACUGAGACACGGUCCAGACUCCUACGGGAGGCAGCAGUAGGGAAUCUUCCGCAAAGGACGAAAGCCUGACGGAGCAACGCCGCGUGAGUGAUGAGGGUCUUCGGAUCGUAAAACUCUGUUAUUAGGGAAGAACAUAUGUGUAAGUAACUGUGCACAUCUUGACGGUACCUAAUCAGAAAGCCACGGCUAACUACGUG
rnacentral:rRNA from 1 species